rnacentral:lncRNA from 1 species
UUUAUUUCAGAAUUUGAAGAAACACUGUAUUUUUUCAAUAAGUAUAUUUUUUGCUGAUCAUUUUAGUGUGCCUGAUUUAAUUUUUCGAGCAAAUUUUCAUCAAACUUCUAUUUAUAAUCGAUUCUUUUAUUUCUUUGUUCUAGUAUCCAAAUUAGAGAUUGUUUUAUUAUUAUUACUUAAAUAAAAUUACUGUUUAGGAAUUUUUAAUAAAUAUUUUUCUUUAAUAAUAGAUAAUAAUAAUUGUUAACAAAUAGGUAAAUUUAAUAGCAUUGAAUUCCUUGAAAAUUGCUAACUGGUACCACGAACGGAUCCCUCACAAACGGUAACAAAAAGAAAGUGGAUAGCUCACAAAAAUCCUC